CUUUUUUUGCUUUAAGGGUUGGCGUAGCAUGCAGUCGAACGAUGAUGCCCAGCUUGCUGGGCGGAUUAGUGGCGAACGGGUGAGUAAUACGUGAGUAACCUGCCCUUGACUCUGGGAUAAGCCUGGGAAACUGGGUCUAAUACUGGAUACUACCUCUUGCCGCAUGGUGGGUGGUGGAAAGGGUUUUACUGGUUUUGGAUGGGCUCACGGCCUAUCAGCUUGUUGGUGGGGUAAUGGCUCACCAAGGCGACGACGGGUAGCCGGCCUGAGAGGGUGACCGGCCACACUGGGACUGAGACACGGCCCAGACUCCUACGGGAGGCAGCAGUGGGGAAUAUUGCACAAUGGGCGGAAGCCUGAUGCAGCGACGCCGCGUGAGGGAUGACGGCCUUCGGGUUGUAAACCUCUUUCAGUAGGGAAGAAGCGAGAGUGACGGUACCUGCAGAAGAAGCGCCGGCUAACUACGUGCCAGCAGCCGCGGUAAUACGUAGGGCGCAAGCGUUGUCCGGAAUUAUUGGGCGUAAAGAGCUCGUAGGCGGUUUGUCGCGUCUGCUGUGAAAGCCCGGGGCUCAACCCCGGGUCUGCAGUGGGUACGGGCAGACUAGAGUGCAGUAGGGGAGACUGGAAUUCCUGGUGUAGCGGUGAAAUGCGCAGAUAUCAGGAGGAACACCGAUGGCGAAGGCAGGUCUCUGGGCUGUUACUGACGCUGAGGAGCGAAAGCAUGGGGAGCGAACAGGAUUAGAUACCCUGGUAGUCCAUGCCGUAAACGUUGGGCACUAGGUGUGGGGGACAUUCCACGUUUUCCGCGCCGUAGCUAACGCAUUAAGUGCCCCGCCUGGGGAGUACGGCCGCAAGGCUAAAACUCAAAGGAAUUGACGGGGGCCCGCACAAGCGGCGGAGCAUGCGGAUUAAUUCGAUGCAACGCGAAGAACCUUACCAAGGCUUGACAUUCACCGGACCGCCCCAGAGAUGGGGUUUCCCUUCGGGGCUGGUGGACAGGUGGUGCAUGGUUGUCGUCAGCUCGUGUCGUGAGAUGUUGGGUUAAGUCCCGCAACGAGCGCAACCCUCGUUUUAUGUUGCCAGCACGUGAUGGUGGGGACUCAUAGGAGACUGCCGGGGUCAACUCGGAGGAAGGUGGGGAUGACGUCAAAUCAUCAUGCCCCUUAUGUCUUGGGCUUCACGCAUGCUACAAUGGCCGGUACAAAGGGUUGCGAUACUGUGAGGUGGAGCUAAUCCCAAAAAGCCGGUCUCAGUUCGGAUUGAGGUCUGCAACUCGACCUCAUGAAGUCGGAGUCGCUAGUAAUCGCAGAUCAGCAACGCUGCGGUGAAUACGUUCCCGGGCCUUGUACACACCGCCCGUCAAGUCACGAAAGUUGGUAACACCCGAAGCCGGUGGCCUAACCCCUUGUGGGAGGGAGCCGUGGAAAGGGGGAUUG
rnacentral:rRNA from 1 species